rnacentral:rRNA from 1 species
AACGAACGCUGGCGGCAGGCUUAACACAUGCAAGUCGAACGCAUCCUUCGGGGUGAGUGGCAGACGGGUGAGUAACGCGUGGGAACGUGCCCUUCAGUUCGGGAUAACCCAGGGAAACUUGGGCUAAUACCGGAUACGUGCGAGAGCAGAAAGAUUUAUCGCUGAAGGAUCGGCCCGCGUCUGAUUAGCUAGUUGGUGGGGUAAUGGCACACCAAGGCGACGAUCAGUAGCUGGUCUGAGAGGAUGAUCAGCCACAUUGGGACUGAGACAGGGCCCAAACGCCUACGGGAGGCAGCAGUAGGGAAUAUUGGACAAUGGGGGCAAGCCUGAUCCAGCCAUGCCGCGUGAGUGAUGAAGGCCUUAGGGUUGUAAAGCUCUUUCGUCCGGGACGAUAAUGACGGUACCGGAAGAAGAAGCCCCGGCUAACUUCGUGCCAGCAGCCGCAGUAA